rnacentral:rRNA from 1 species
GUUUGAUCAUGGCUCAGAACGAACGCUGGCGGCAGGCUUAACACAUGCAAGUCGAACGCCCCGCAAGGGGAGUGGCAGACGGGUGAGUAACGCGUGGGAAUCUACCUGGUUCUACGGAAUAACUGAGGGAAACUUCAGCUAAUACCGUAUACGCCCCAAGGGGGAAAGAUUUAUCGGUGCCAGAUGAGCCCGCGUUGGAUUAGCUAGUUGGUGGGGUAAUGGCCUACCAAGGCGACGAUCCAUAGCUGGUCUGAGAGGAUGAUCAGCCACACUGGGACUGAGACACGGCCCAGACUCCUACGGGAGGCAGCAGUGGGGAAUAUUGGACAAUGGGCGCAAGCCUGAUCCAGCCAUGCCGCGUGGAUGAUGAAGGCCCUAGGGUUGUAAAGUCCUUUUAACGGGGAAGAUAAUGACGGUACCCGUAGAAUAAGCCCCGGCUAACUUCGUGCCAGCAGCCGCGGUAAUAA